GAUGAACGCUGGCGGCGUGCCUAAUACAUGCAAGUCGAGCGAACAGACGAGGAGCUUGCUCCUCUGACGUUAGCGGCGGACGGGUGAGUAACACGUGGAUAACCUACCUAUAAGACUGGGAUAACUUCGGGAAACCGGCGCUAAUACCGGAUAAUAUAUUGAACCGCAUGGUUCAAUAGUGAAAGACGGUUUUGCUGUCACUUAUAGAUGGAUCCGCGCCGCAUUAGCUAGUUGGUAAGGUAACGGCUUACCAAGGCAACGAUGCGUAGCCGACCUGAGAGGGUGAUCGGCCACACUGGAACUGAGACACGGUCCAGACUCCUACGGGAGGCAGCAGUAGGGAAUCUUCCGCAAUGGGCGAAAGCUUGACGGAGCAACGCCGCGUGAGUGAUGAAGGUCUUCGGAUCGUAAAACUCUGUUAUUAGGGAAGAACAAAUGUGUAAGUAACUAUGCACGUCUUGACGGUACCUAAUCAGAAAGCCACGGCUAACUACGUG
rnacentral:rRNA from 1 species